AGAUAUGACUUAGUGGCGGACGGGUGAGUAACACGUGAGCAACCUGCCUUUCAGAGGGGGAUAACGGCUGGAAACGGUCACUAAUACCGCAUGAUGUGUUCGGAUGGCAUCAUCUGAACAUCAAAGAUUUAUCGCUGAAAGAUGGGCUCGCGUCUGAUUAGAUAGUUGGUGGGGUAACGGCCUACCAAGGCGACGAUCAGUAGCCGACCUGAGAGGGUGAUCGGCCACAUUGGGACUGAGAUACGGCCCAGACUCC
rnacentral:rRNA from 1 species